rnacentral:rRNA from 1 species
AACGCUGGCGGCGUGCCUAAUACAUGCAAGUCGAACGAAGCUUUCUUUCACCGAAUGCUUGCAUUCACCGAAAGAAAACUUAGUGGCGAACGGGUGAGUAACACGUAGGCAACCUGCCCAAAAGAGGGGGAUAACACUUGGAAACAGGUGCUAAUACCGCAUAACCAUGAACACCGCAUGAUGUUCAUGUAAAAGACGGCUUUUGCUGUCACUUUUGGAUGGGCCUGCGGCGUAUUAACUUGUUGGUGGGGUAACGGCCUACCAAGGUGAUGAUACGUAGCCGAACUGAGAGGUUGAUCGGCCACAUUGGGACUGAGACACGGCCCAAACUCCUACGGGAGGCAGCAGUAGGGAAUCUUCCACAAUGGACGAAAGUCUGAUGGAGCAACGCCGCGUGAAUGAAGAAGGCCUUCGGGUCGUAAAAUUCUGUUGUCAGAGAAGAACGUGCGUGAGAGUAACUGUUCACGUAUUGACGGUAUCUGACCAGAAAGCCACGGCUAACUACGUGCCAGCAGCCGCGGUAAUACGUAGGUGGCAAGCGUUGUCCGGAUUUAUUGGGCGUAAAGGGAACGCAGGCGGUCUUUUAAGUCUGAUGUGAAAGCCUUCGGCUUAACCGAAGUAGUGCAUUGGAAACUGGAAGACUUGAGUGCAGAAGAGGAGAGUGGAACUCCAUGUGUAGCGGUGAAAUGCGUAGAUAUAUGGAAGAACACCAGUGGCGAAAGCGGCUCUCUGGUCUGUAACUGACGCUGAGGUUCGAAAGCGUGGGUAGCAAACAGGAUUAGAUACCCUGSUAGUCCACGCCGUAAACGAUGAGUGCUGAGUGUUGGAGGGUUUCCGCCCUUCAGUGCUGCAGCUAACGCAUUAAGCACUCCGCCUGGGGAGU